rnacentral:rRNA from 1 species
GGGUUGUGAGGUUAAGCGACUAAGCGUACACGGUGGAUGCCCUGGCAGUCAGAGGCGAUGAAGGACGUGCUAAUCUGCGAUAAGCGUCGGUGAGGUGAUAUGAACCGUUAUAACCGGCGAUUUCCGAAUGGGGAAACCCAGUGUGAUUCGUCACACUAUCAUUAACUGAAUCCAUAGGUUAAUGAGGCGAACCGGGGGAACUGAAACAUCUAAGUACCCCGAGGAAAAGAAAUCAACCGAGAUUCCCCCAGUAGCGGCGAGCGAACGGGGAGCAGCCCAGAGCCUGAAUCAGUGUGUGUGUUAGUGGAAGCGUCUGGAAAGGCGCGCGAUACAGGGUGACAGCCCCGUACACAAAAAUGCACAUACUGUGAGCUCGAUGAGUAGGGCGGGACACGUGGUAUCCUGUCUGAAUAUGGGGGGACCAUCCUCCAAGGCUAAAUACUCCUGACUGACCGAUAGUGAACCAGUACCGUGAGGGAAAGGCGAAAAGAACCCCGGCGAGGGGAGUGAAAAAGAACCUGAAACCGUGUACGUACAAGCAGUGGGAGCACGCUUCGGCGUGUGACUGCGUACCUUUUGUAUAAUGGGUCAGCGACUUAUAUUCUGUAGCAAGGUUAACCGAAUAGGGGAGCCGAAGGGAAACCGAGUCUUAACUGGGCGUUAAGUUGCAGGGUAUAGACCCGAAACCCGGUGAUCUAGCCAUGGGCAGGUUGAAGGUUGGGUAACACUAACUGGAGGACCGAACCGACUAAUGUUGAAAAAUUAGCGGAUGACUUGUGGCUGGGGGUGAAAGGCCAAUCAAACCGGGAGAUAGCUGGUUCUCCCCGAAAGCUAUUUAGGUAGCGCCUCGUGAAUUCAUCUCCGGGGGUAGAGCACUGUUUCGGCAAGGGGGUCAUCCCGACUUACCAACCCGAUGCAAACUGCGAAUACCGGAGAAUGUUAUCACGGGAGACACACGGCGGGUGCUAACGUCCGUCGUGAAGAGGGAAACAACCCAGACCGCCAGCUAAGGUCCCAAAGUCAUGGUUAAGUGGGAAACGAUGUGGGAAGGCCCAGACAGCCAGGAUGUUGGCUUAGAAGCAGCCAUCAUUUAAAGAAAGCGUAAUAGCUCACUGGUCGAGUCGGCCUGCGCGGAAGAUGUAACGGGGCUAAACCAUGCACCGAAGCUGCGGCAGCGACACUAUGUGUUGUUGGGUAGGGGAGCGUUCUGUAAGCCUGUGAAGGUGUACUGUGAGGUAUGCUGGAGGUAUCAGAAGUGCGAAUGCUGACAUAAGUAACGAUAAAGCGGGUGAAAAGCCCGCUCGCCGGAAGACCAAGGGUUCCUGUCCAACGUUAAUCGGGGCAGGGUGAGUCGACCCCUAAGGCGAGGCCGAAAGGCGUAGUCGAUGGGAAACAGGUUAAUAUUCCUGUACUUGGUGUUACUGCGAAGGGGGGACGGAGAAGGCUAUGUUGGCCGGGCGACGGUUGUCCCGGUUUAAGCGUGUAGGCUGGUUUUCCAGGCAAAUCCGGAGAAUCAAGGCUGAGGCGUGAUGACGAGGCACUACGGUGCUGAAGCAACAAAUGCCCUGCUUCCAGGAAAAGCCUCUAAGCAUCAGGUAACAUUAAAUCGUACCCCAAACCGACACAGGUGGUCAGGUAGAGAAUACCAAGGCGCUUGAGAGAACUCGGGUGAAGGAACUAGGCAAAAUGGUGCCGUAACUUCGGGAGAAGGCACGCUGAUACGUAGGUGAAGUCCCUCGCGGAUGGAGCUGAAAUCAGUCGAAGAUACCAGCUGGCUGCAACUGUUUAUUAAAAACACAGCACUGUGCAAACACGAAAGUGGACGUAUACGGUGUGACGCCUGCCCGGUGCCGGAAGGUUAAUUGAUGGGGUCAGCGCAAGCGAAGCUCUUGAUCGAAGCCCCGGUAAACGGCGGCCGUAACUAUAACGGUCCUAAGGUAGCGAAAUUCCUUGUCGGGUAAGUUCCGACCUGCACGAAUGGCGUAAUGAUGGCCAGGCUGUCUCCACCCGAGACUCAGUGAAAUUGAACUCGCUGUGAAGAUGCAGUGUACCCGCGGCAAGACGGAAAGACCCCGUGAACCUUUACUAUAGCUUGACACUGAACAUUGAGCCUUGAUGUGUAGGAUAGGUGGGAGGCUUUGAAGUGUGGACGCCAGUCUGCAUGGAGCCGACCUUGAAAUACCACCCUUUAAUGUUUGAUGUUCUAACGUAGACCCGUGAUCCGGGUUGCGGACAGUGUCUGGUGGGUAGUUUGACUGGGGCGGUCUCCUCCUAAAGAGUAACGGAGGAGCACGAAGGUUGGCUAAUCCUGGUCGGACAUCAGGAGGUUAGUGCAAUGGCAUAAGCCAGCUUGACUGCGAGCGUGACGGCGCGAGCAGGUGCGAAAGCAGGUCAUAGUGAUCCGGUGGUUCUGAAUGGAAGGGCCAUCGCUCAACGGAUAAAAGGUACUCCGGGGAUAACAGGCUGAUACCGCCCAAGAGUUCAUAUCGACGGCGGUGUUUGGCACCUCGAUGUCGGCUCAUCACAUCCUGGGGCUGAAGUAGGUCCCAAGGGUAUGGCUGUUCGCCAUUUAAAGUGGUACGCGAGCUGGGUUUAGAACGUCGUGAGACAGUUCGGUCCCUAUCUGCCGUGGGCGCUGGAGAACUGAGGGGGGCUGCUCCUAGUACGAGAGGACCGGAGUGGACGCAUCACUGGUGUUCGGGUUGUCAUGCCAAUGGCACUGCCCGGUAGCUAAAUGCGGAAGAGAUAAGUGCUGAAAGCAUCUAAGCACGAAACUUGCCCCGAGAUGAGUUCUCCCUGACCCUUUAAGGGUCCUGAAGGAACGUUGAAGACGACGACGUUGAUAGGCCGGGUGUGUAAGCGCAGCGAUGCGUUGAGCUAACCGGUACUAAUGAACCGUGAGGCUUAACCUUACAACGCCGAAGGUGUUU